rnacentral:rRNA from 1 species
UGGGGAAUAUUGCACAAUGGGCGAAAGCCUGAUGCAGCAACGCCGCGUGUGUGAAGAAGGCCUCGGGUUGUAAAGCACUUUGUCCGGAAAGAAAUCCUUGGCUCUAAUACAGUCGGGGGAUGACGGUACCGGAAGAAUAAGCACCGGCUAACUACGUGCCAGCAGCCGCGGUAAUACGUAGGGUGCAAGCGUUAAUCGGAAUUACUGGGCGUAAAGCGUGCGCAGGCGGUUUGCUAAGACCGAUGUGAAAUCCCCGGGCUCAACCUGGGAACUGCAUUGGUGACUGGCAGGCUAGAGUAUGGCAGAGGGGGGUAGAAUUCCACGUGUAGCAGUGAAAUGCGUAGAGAUGUGGAGGAAUACCGAUGGCGAAGGCAGCCCCCUGGGCCAAUACUGACGCUCAUGCACGAAAGCGUGGGGAGCAAACAGGAUUAGAUACCCUGGUAGUCCACGCCCUAAACGAUGUCAACUAGUUGUUGGGGAUUCAUUUUCCUUAGUAACGUAGCUAACGCGUGAAGUUGACCGCCUGGGGAGUACGGUCGCAAGAUUAAAA